rnacentral:rRNA from 1 species
AUGGCCACGUAUUUCGACUCGGACCGUCAGUCGAAGAAAUACUACACAAAUAUCAAGAAAGUUCUUGAUGAUGCUCUCCCCGGCUACGCCAACUCUAGAGGCACCUUCAGGAGGCCAAUUUGUAGGUACGGCAAGCACGUGUUCACCCACGUAACGGCGUUCCCUGUGUCAAGCAGCCGCGUGGCAGUCAGAAGGAUGCCUACUAUGCCCUCCAUCACAUGCGGGCGAUCGUACGGGACCAUAAUCACCUUAUGCUACCAAAUAAUCUCAAAGAAUGGGCCGCACGCUUGUCGGCAAUCCAGGACACGGACAUCAGACAAGAAUUCUUUCGCAUCCAGUCGAAGUUUGCGGAAAUCAUCUAUCCUUCGUGCCUCAGGGCAGUUCUACCUCAAAUAUCAACCGUCCAACAGUGAAAUAGAAACAACGCUACAAAUGCAGGCUGACAACGACCGCACAUUCAUGACCAUCAUGAUAGACGGCGGCUUCAUCCAUGCUCCGGUCCCUGAGUCUAGUCGAAAGUAUUGA